rfam:Candidatus Woykebacteria bacterium RBG_16_39_9b RBG_16_scaffold_6228, whole genome shotgun sequence.
GGAAGGGUGACUGAGUGGAUUAAGGUGCCGGUCUCGAAAAUCGGUGUCCCGCUUUGCGGGACCGUGGGUUCGAAUCCCACCCCUUCCG